rnacentral:rRNA from 1 species
GGGGGGGGGGGGGGGGGGGGGGGGGGGGGGGGGGUCGGGGGGGGGGGGGGGGCGUUGGUGGGGGGCUCGGGUGGCGAACGGGGGCGUAGCACGUGCGUAGCCGGCGCGUGACUUUGGGGUCACUUCGGGGGACUGGGGCUAGUACCGGGUAGUGGCUCCUGCUGCAUGUGGGGGGGUGUACAAUUUCUGCGUUUGGGGCUGGCGUCGCGGCUGCUCAGCUUGAUGUUGGGGUAGUGGCUUACCAAGGCUUUGCCGGUGAGCUGGCCUGAGCGGGUGACCGGCCACAUGGGGACUGAGAUACGGCCCAGACUCCUACGGGAGGCAGCAGUGGGGAAUAGUGCACAAUGGGCGGAAGCCUGAUGCAGCAACGCCGCGUGCGGGAUGACGGCCUUCGGGUUGUAAACCGCUUUCGCCUGUGACGAAGCGUGAGUGACGGUAAUGGGUAAAGAAGCACCGGCUAACUACGUG